UGCUACGUACUUUUUCAAGAA
rnacentral:piRNA from 1 species